rnacentral:snRNA from 1 species
AUACUGACCUGGCAGGGGAGAUACCAUGAUUACGAAGGUGGUUUUCCCAGGGUGAGGUUUAUCCAUUGCACUCCAGAUGUGCUGACUCCUGUGAUCCCCUCCCCACAAAAAAAUUAAUAAUAAAAUUAGAUUAGAUGUCCAUGACAACUUAUUGCUAGUAUGGAGCAAGGUUUAGAAUCAAUUCUGA